GUAAGUGCCGCCUGGUCGCACGCUUCCGGGCCGGGUAACCGGAGGGCAGUGUUGACCGGGACCCGCCCUCGGCGCGGCGGGCGGUGUAGCAGGCACCGUGGGAGUCCAGUGGGAUUCUAUAGGGAGACCAGGGCAGAGCUUGGCGUCCUGGUCCUGUGCUCUGCGCUCGGGCUCCUCCGCAGCAAUGUGGAUUACGGCUAGGAAUGUGGUACUGGAAAGACGAAACAAAAUCUCUGGAAUUUAGAAGUUUCACACCUGCAGUAGAACUGAAGGAGAAAGGCAAGAAAGGGAAGGCGGUUCACUUUGCUGAGAUGGACGGCACAGCUUCAGAAAGAUUGACAGAUAAAAGGUUUGUCCCAAGGGAUGAAAAGUCAGCUAAGACUUUGGAGAAGCGAGGCCAGCAGGGCAACGUCACGCUGGAUGACGUCAAGUUUGUUGCGCUGCUUUCCCUCCAAGACACUGAAAUGCAGAGGGUCUGCUCCUUCACAACGUUUAUGAGGUACAGCCGACCAGAUGGCAUGCAUUGUUCCCCU
rnacentral:lncRNA from 1 species